GAAAGCGAGAAAGCGUUGCCGCAGGCAACGACCCGAAGGGCGAAGCGCGCAGCGCUGAGUAAUCCUUCCCCCACCACCA
rnacentral:sRNA from 1 species